GAUGAACGCUAGCGGCAGGCUUAACACAUGCAAGUCGAGGGGCAGCAUAAUGGAUAGCAAUAUCUAUGGUGGCGACCGGCGCACGGGUGCGUAACGCGUAUGCAACCUACCUUUAACAGGGGGAUAACACUGAGAAAUUGGUACUAAUACUCCAUAAUAUCAUAGAAGGCAUCUUUUAUGGUUGAAAAUUCCGAUGGUUAGAGAUGGGCAUGCGUUGUAUUAGCUAGUUGGUGGGGUAACGGCUCACCAAGGCGACGAUACAUAGGGGGACUGAGAGGUUAACCCCCCACACUGGUACUGAGACACGGACCAGACUCCUACGGGAGGCAGCAGUGAGGAAUAUUGGUCAAUGGACGCAAGUCUGAACCAGCCAUGCCGCGUGCAGGAUGACGGCUCUAUGAGUUGUAAACUGCUUUUGUACGAGGGUAAACGCAGAUACGUGUAUCUGUCUGAAAGUAUCGUACGAAUAAGGAUCGGCUAACUCCGUG
rnacentral:rRNA from 1 species